UAGGGAAUUUUCGUCAAUGGGGGCGAACCCUGAACGAGCAAUGCCGCGUGAGCGAAGAAGGUCUUCGGAUUGUAAAAGCUCUGUUGCCGGGGAAAAAGGAAGG
rnacentral:rRNA from 1 species